rnacentral:tRNA from 1 species
GAUCUUAUAGUUUAUAAAAAAUAUUAAAGUGCAAAUUUAAAGAAAUGUGUUCAUUAAGAUCU